rnacentral:rRNA from 1 species
GUACACGCUGUGACUAGCAUAUCAAUAAGCGGAGGAAAAGAAACUAACAAGGAUUCCCCUAGUAACGGCGAGUGAAGCGGGAAGAGCUCAAAUUUGAAAUCUUAAAGGGUUUCCCUUUACGAAUUGUAGUUUAAAGAAGUGUUUUCUGUUGAGGUUUUGGUAAAAGUUCUUUGGAAUAGGACAUCAUAGAGGGUGAGAAUCCCGUAUUUGACCUUUACUUUCAACUUUGUGAUACACUUUCAAAGAGUCGGAUUGUUUGGGAAUGCAGUCCAAAAUGGGUGGUAAAUUUCAUCUAAAGCUAAAUAUUGGCGAGAGACCGAUAGCGAACAAGUACCGUGAGGGAAAGAUGAAAAGAACUUUGAAAAGAGAGUUAAACAGUACGUGAAAUUGUCAAAAGGGAAGCGUUUGACACCAGUGUUGUUUUUCUGAAAAUCAAUUAAAGGACUGUUUAUGCUAAGUUGUUUAGACUUUAUCAGCUAACUGUUUAGUUUUGAGCUUUUCUUUAAUGCACUUUUCAGUUAACAAGUCAACAUCAAUUUCUUUUGCUGUAAAAAAGCUUGAGGAAGGUGGCUUGAGAUUCGUCUUAAGUGUUUAUAGCCUCUUGCCUAUGCAGUCGGAGAGAUUGAGGUCUGCAGCGUAGAUCCUUCGGGGCUAAAUGCAUUUGUGCUAAGUUAUAACAUUUUAUAGACAACUUGUUGACUAUGAUUUGUCUUGUAGCUUACUCGCUUAUGUUAUUUUACCUACGCUUAGGAUGUUGACAGCAGUAUAGACUGU